rnacentral:rRNA from 1 species
UACGUAGGUGGCAAGCGUUGUCCGGAUUUACUGGGCGUAAAGAGCGCGCAGGCGGUCGGAUCAGUCGAAUGUGAAAGCCCCCGGCUCAACUGGGGAGGGUCAUUCGAUACUGCUCGACUUGAAGGCAGGAGAGGGUAGUGGAAUUCCCGGUGUAGUGGUGAAAUGCGUAGAGAUCGUAAGGAAGACCAGUGGCGAAGGCGGGUCUCUGGACAGUUCCUGACACUGAGGCACGAAGGCCAGGGGAGCAAACGGG